CCAUCUGGCUAGUAGGUUAGCAUUUGUGACUAGCCCGACUUGAAAACACACUGGCCUUGGGUGUUGGCCCAUCUGGCUAGUAGGUUAGCAUUUGUGACUAGCCCGACUUGAAAACACACUGGCCUUGGGUGUUGGGCCAUCUGGCUAGUAGGUUAGCAUUUGUGACUAGCCCGACUUG